rnacentral:snRNA from 1 species
UCCUGAGCACAGCAAAUGUUUUC